GAGAAGUCCACUAAACCUUAUCAUUUAGAGGAAGGAGAAGUCGCAACAAGGUUUCCGUAGGUGAACCUGCGGAAGGAUCAUUG
rnacentral:rRNA from 1 species